ensembl:snoRNA small nucleolar RNA SNORD53/SNORD92
GAGGAGUGAUGACGCUGAGAAUGGUUUCGCAUAAAAGACUGAAUUCAUGUGAUGACACAAUUCUCUUGGCUAUCUGACCUA